rnacentral:rRNA from 1 species
GACGAACGCUGGCGGCGUGCCUAACACAUGCAAGUCGAACGAAGUGGCGAACGGGUGAGUAACGCGUAAUCAACCUGCCCUUCAGAGGGGGACAACAGUUGGAAACGACUGCUAAUACCGCAUACUGAAGGUGGUGAUUGCGUCGGGUGAGGUAGUUGGAGGGGUAACGGCCCACCAAGGCGAUGAUCAGUAGCCGGUCUGGGAGGAUGAACGGCAACAGUGGGACUGAGAAACGGCCCAGACGCCUGCGGACGGGAGCAGUGGGGAAGCUUACGAAAUGGACGAAAGUCGGGCGAAGCAACGCCGCGUGAGUGAUGACGGCCUUCGGGUUGUAAAGCGCUGUUAAUCGGGACGCGGUACCGGAAUAGAAAGCCACGGCUAACUACGUGCCAGCAGCCGCGGUAAUUC